AAACGUCACUGCAAGAUCGUCUUUUCGUCAUCCUCUUAUAAAUCGUAGGUUAACGAGAGGUGGAGAUGAAUUAAUUAAAUAAGCUAUAUGGAAGUGCCAUACAGUGCGAUGUUCCUGCGGAAUUGAUCGUGUUUUUUUCCAUAGUACACGGGACAAACUUUCAUUUCCUGGUAGGACGUGAUGUUUGGACUUCGUGCUUCCAAGUGCCACUUCUUUUCUUAUAUUCUUAGGCACGUAGACUGACCAUCUCGCUGUCUGUCAACGCCUUGGAGAGUUUUAUGUUUGUACUGCAAGGAAUGGCAUAUAUCAUAAUCCUGUGUUCAUCGUCAUGUGUUCUGCGGAAUAUUUUCAGAAGUAGAAACAGAAAAGCUCAUCAAAUUCUUAUAAUUCUUAUGUACAAAAACACAUAAGAGAUGCCAAAUCAAAUUAAUAGUACAGAAUAUUACAAACUAAAAC